GGUUAGCUCAGUUGGUUAGAGCAUGGUGCUAAUAACGCCAAGGUCAUGGGUUCAAUCCCUGCUUACUG
rnacentral:tRNA from 1 species